UGUGGUUUAAAUUACAGCUUUUCUCUGACUUCCAACUUUCAAAUCAUUUGAGAAGCAAAUGCAGCGUUUAUUCCAUGCAGAUGGAGAUUGUAAAUUAGCUUUAUUAAUGAUAAACCCCCACUAGGGAUUAUAGCCUGGACCUAUGGCAGCCAUUGGGCUUCUCAGUAACAUCCCUCCAAGCCUAGACCUUGGUACAACUCACCCAAGGGAGUAAGUAGUGCCUUUCCUUGCUAUUCCCCAACUUUUUGUUCCUUUAUUCAUCCUUAGGGUUUUCCAUGUCCAGUGUGGCGACUUCCCUCGGUGGAGGAGACCAUCAGUUUCUCCAGAUGUUCCCGUUUCUGCCUUCCUAAGAACACAUUCCUAAUAUAACCAUGGCUCCUCUGAGUGUUCUCCUGUGACCACAGCUUUCUCUUCACAAUGGCAAAGACAGCAGCUGGCUCCAACUCCUGUUUAGAUACCCGUUGGAGGCCUUCGUUGAAUGAAAGAAGAAGAUCCAUUAAAAGAGACAGCGCCAGCCAGCCUCUCCCGCUUGGACUUUUCUAGGGGAGAAUCAGGCACCCGUCUCUGUACUUCCCAAACUCCAGGGAACACAGGUCAGUCCUCUGUGGUAGGCAGAAUAAGAGUGUCUCACGGAUGUCCACACCCUAAUCUCUGGAACCUGUGAAUAUGUUACCUUACCUGGCAAAACGAGCUUUGCAGAUGUGAUUGAGGUUAUGGACCUUGAGUAGGAGAGAUUAUCCUGGGUUAUCCAUGUGGGCCCAGUCUAAUUAAUUCACCACAGGAAUCCUUAAAAGUGGAGAACCUUUUUAGGUGGCUAUAGUCAGGGAGAGAGAUGUGACUACAGAAAAAGGGCAGAGACAUAUGACAUGAGAAAAAUGUUGCUUGCCAUUGCUGACUUGAAGAUGGAGGAAACAGCCACAGGCCAAGUCAGUGAAUAACCUCCAGGAGCUGAUAAUGGCCCUCAGCUACAGCCAACAAGAAAGCAUGUGUCUCGGCUGGGCAUGGUGGCUCAUGCCUGUAAUCCCAGCACUU